UUGAAUUGUCAAAAAUUGUUAUUUGUUUUGCUGUUAAAAUUAUUUAUAAGUUCUUUGAACUAUUUAAUUGAUAAGUUAAUAUGUAUGAUUGAUUAUUAUAAUAAGGAACGAUGGAUUCCGAUACGGAUUCAUUGGAGAGAGCAAUACAAAAUGAUACGUCGGCUCAGGCCAUGGAUAACAUAAAGAGUGAACCCGAAGAAGAUCCGUUGGAAGGCAGUAGUUAUAAUUUGGAAGUUUCGUUUAAGGCGGAAACUACCAAUGAGGAGGAUGACGAUGAAGAAUAUAAUACAAUGGCACUACUAGAACUAGCACAAUGUGUACAAACCAAUCAUGAUCCCAUUGAGUUUGACUCAACCGAGGCUGCCGUCAACCCAAAGACCGGUCUCAUGAUGUGUUUACACUGCUUUGAGGAUGUUGACAGCAAUUUGUUAGCUGACCAUAUGAUUAAUGCGCACAGUUAUUGAAGAUUGCAACUUAAAUGUCGCAUUUGUGAUACUACAUUCCAGGAAAGAAAAGUUCUUAUAAUCCAUCGUCAAGAAUGUCAACCGCCAGCUAAAAAAGCUAAAAGGCGUACAUUCCAACAAAUAAUGAGAGAAGUGGAAAGUAGUUUGGAUACAAAUAUAUAUGAUAUGGUCACAUGUCCCAUAUGUGUGUUAGAAAUGGCCAAAUAUACAUUAAAAGAUCAUUUAAUUAAUGCCCAUAGUAAUCCAGAUAUGGUAUUGACUUGUGCGAAGUGCAAUAAGAAUUUCAAAUCACGUUUAACAUUAAGGGAACAUGUUAGAUUGGUACAUGAAUCUAUUGAAGAUUCCGUGGAAUGUGAAUUAUGUGGACAGAAGUUUAGAUCAUAUAAAUAUUUAUCAAAUCAUAAGAGGAAUGUUCAUCCUAAAGGUGGUCAAGUACAUAUUUGUGCGAAAUGUGGUAAACAAUUCAAGAGUCGUCUUUGUUUACAUCAACAUACGAAGUACGUACAUCCACCAGAGAGUGCUUCAGUCAACUGCCCGCAAUGUCGCAAGAGAUUCAAAUCUCGUAUUAACUUACAUCAGCAUAUACGGAUAUCACAUAGCAGACAUAAUGGCAACACUGAAUAAAUUAUACUGUUGUCAGUGUUGCCUCAUUUCUUCUUCAAAU